UGGUCUUCCAUGGAGGGACCGAGGCUGCGU
rnacentral:piRNA from 1 species